rnacentral:rRNA from 1 species
GAUGAACGCUAGCGGCAGGCCUAAUACAUGCAAGGCGAAGGGGCAGCAAUGUCACUGUCGUACGGGUGCGUAACGCGUAUGCAACCUACCUAUCACAGGGGAAUAGCCUUUGGAAACAGGGAUUAAUACCGCAUAAAGCAGGGACACCGCAUGGUGAUAUUGCUAAAGAUUUAUCGGUGAUAGAUGGGCAUGCGUCUGAUUAGUUAGUUGGCAGGGUGACGGCCUACCAAGACGAUGAUCAGUAGGGGGCGUCAGAGCGUGGUCCCCCACACUGGCACUGAGAUACGGGCCAGACUCCUACGGGAGGCAGCAGUAGGGAAUAUUGGGCAAUGGAUGCAAGCCUGAACCAGCCAUGCCGCGUGCAGGAAGAAUGCCCUAUGGGUUGUAAACUGCUUUUAUUUGGGAAUAAACCUCUUUACGUGUAGAGAGCUGAAGGUACCAAAUGAAUAAGCACCGGCUAACUCCGUGCCAGCAG